rnacentral:rRNA from 1 species
GACGAACGCUGGCGGCGUGCUUAACACAUGCAAGUCGAACGAUGAUCUCCCGCUUGCGGGGGUGCUUAGUGGCGAACGGGUGAGUAAUACGUGAGUAACCUGCCCUUGACUCUGGGAUAAGCCUGGGAAACCGGGUCUAAUACUGGAUACUACUUCCUGCCGCAUGGUGGGGGGUGGAAAGGGUUUUACUGGUUUUGGAUGGGCUCACGGCCUAUCAGCUCGUUGGUGGAGUAAUGGCUCACCAAGGCGACGACGGGUAGCCGGCCUGAGAGGGUGACCGGCCACACUGGGACUGGGACACAGCCCAGACUCCAACGGGAGGCAGCAGUGGGGAAUAUUGCACAAUGGGCGGAAGCCUGAUGCAGCGACGCCGCGUGAGGGAUGACAGACAUCGGGUUGUAAACCUCUUUCAGAAGGGAAGAAGCUACAAGUGACGGUACCUGAAGAAGAAGCGCCGGCUAACUACGUG